rnacentral:lncRNA from 1 species
CAUUGAUGAGGGGUUUGCUACUGUGGGGCUGGGGUGGUCCCGAUGGCUACUAUUGAUGUGUUAGCCCUAGCCUCAAGAGAUGGUUCUUCUAGAACAUCAGCCGGCGGUAGGUCUCAAUCUCCAUCUCCAGGCGAGCCUUGACGCCCAGCAGCCGCUGGUGGUCCGCAUUCUGGCGCUCCGCGUCAGCCCGCACCUGUUGGAGUUGCUCCUCCAGGCUGCCGAUCAGCUGCUGCACCUGAGACAGCUGGCAGCAGUACCCACCCUCGGUUUCAGCCAGCGAGCCUUCCAGGGACGACUUCUGCAAAUGGGAGAUAGACAGAAUUGUCUGGGGAUCUGAGAACAAGGCCGCAGCCCACGGUCCAGCAUACCGUGGGUGCAACAUCUUUUUUUUUUUUUGGAAGUUAAGGGAUGCGUCGUGUCUCUCUGCAUGUCACGCUACCAUGGCGAGCUGGGCCUGGAGU